rnacentral:rRNA from 1 species
UACAGAGGGGGCAAGCGUUGUUCGGAAUUACUGGGCGUAAAGGGCGCGUAGGCGGCCCGCUAAGUCGAACGUGAAAUCCCCGAGCUCAACUCGGGAACUGCGUCCGAUACUGGCGGGCUUGAAUCCGGGAGAGGGAUGCGGAAUUCCAGGUGUAGCGGUGAAAUGCGUAGAUAUCUGGAGGAACACCGGUGGCGAAGGCGGCAUCCUGGACCGGUACUGACGCUGAGGUGCGAAAGCGUGGGGAGCAAACAGG